rnacentral:lncRNA from 1 species
CUUGGAACCAAAUCGAAAAUCAAAUUCAAAUCGCGAAGUAGAACUAGUGUCGCCGAUGUAACUCGUGAAGCCGUAACAUCGGGGAAAAUAAGGAUAACUAUAGUCGGAGAAAGAGUAUCACCUAACUAAGGCCCAAACUAUCAGACUCAAGUCUGCUACACCAGUCUACAGGGAUCUAAGUCGGCCGAGCGACGUCGGGGCAAAACUAAGACCUAUUGGAUUCGAAUAAUGUAUUUCUGAAGCAAGCCCUAGUCAAACCUAAACUAAGG